rnacentral:rRNA from 1 species
CCUACGGGUGGCAGCAGUGGGGGAUAUUGCACAAUGGGGGGAACCCUGAUGCAGCGACGCCGCGUGGGUGAAGGAGUAUUUCGGUAUGUAAAGCCCUAUCGGCAGGGAAGAAGCAAGACGGUACCUGACUAAGAAGCCCCGGCUAACUACGUGCCAGCAGCCGCGGUAAUACGUAGGGGGCGAGCGUUAUCCGGAUUUACUGGGUGUAAAGGGAGCGUAGACGGCGGUGCAAGCCAGAUGUGAAAGCCCGGGGCUCAACCCCGGGACUGCAUUUGGAACUGUGCUGCUAGAGUGUCGGAGAGGCAGGCGGAAUUCCUAGUGUAGCGGUGAAAUGCGUAGAUAUUAGGAGGAACACCAGUGGCGAAGGCGGCCUGCUGGACGAUGACUGACGUUGAGGCUCGAAAGCGUGGGGAGCAAACAGGAUUAGAUACCCUUGUAGUC